UGCCAUUUCCCAAAACUCGAUCUAACCAUGUACUAAUCCACAGGCUACUAAUGCUUCCCAUUGUUUCGCUCCUCUCUCUGAACAGCCUCACCUAAUGUCCCCCGAUAUUGAAACUAGACAAGUCUCUCCCAAGAUUGCUGCUUCCAUGUUGUUCUAGUCCAUUCCUGUCACUCAUGUUACUACAUCCAGCUCUGCAUAUCCCAAAUCUUGCCCUUUUCCUGGACUCCCUGCAACUCCUCCUUGUCCCACUGUACACCUGGUAGGACUCUGAUUCGUACAGAUUUCCUCUAUCUUCACAUUAUAAUGUUACCCACAUAACCCUGGCUCUCUUCUCUAAUGCCCAGAGCCU
rnacentral:lncRNA from 1 species